rnacentral:rRNA from 4 species
GAUGAACGCUGGCGGCGUGCCUAAUACAUGCAAGUCGAACGCUUUGUGGUUCAACUGAUUUGAAGAGCUUGCUCAGAUAUGACGAUGGACAUUGCAAAGAGUGGCGAACGGGUGAGUAACACGUGGGAAACCUACCUCUUAGCAGGGGAUAACAUUUGGAAACAGAUGCUAAUACCGUAUAACAAUGACAACCGCAUGGUUGUUAUUUAAAAGAUGGUUCUGCUAUCACUAAGAGAUGGUCCCGCGGUGCAUUAGCUAGUUGGUAAGGUAAUGGCUUACCAAGGCGAUGAUGCAUAGCCGAGUUGAGAGACUGAUCGGCCACAAUGGGACUGAGACACGGCCCAUACUCCUACGGGAGGCAGCAGUAGGGAAUCUUCCACAAUGGGCGAAAGCCUGAUGGAGCAACGCCGCGUGUGUGAUGAAGGGUUUCGGCUCGUAAAACACUGUUGUAAGAGAAGAAUGACAUUGAGAGUAACUGUUCAAUGUGUGACGGUAUCUUACCAGAAAGGAACGGCUAAAUACGUGCCAGCAGCCGCGGUAAUACGUAUGUUCCAAGCGUUAUCCGGAUUUAUUGGGCGUAAAGCGAGCGCAGACGGUUAUUUAAGUCUGAAGUGAAAGCCCUCAGCUCAACUGAGGAAUUGCUUUGGAAACUGGAUGACUUGAGUGCAGUAGAGGAAAGUGGAACUCCAUGUGUAGCGGUGAAAUGCGUAGAUAUAUGGAAGAACACCAGUGGCGAAGGCGGCUUUCUGGACUGUAACUGACGUUGAGGCUCGAAAGUGUGGGUAGCAAACAGGAUUAGAUACCCUGGUAGUCCACACCGUAAACGAUGAGUGCUAGGUGUUUGAGGGUUUCCGCCCUUAAGUGCCGCAGCUAACGCAUUAAGCACUCCGCCUGGGGAGUACGACCGCAAGGUUGAAACUCAAAGGAAUUGACGGGGACCCGCACAAGCGGUGGAGCAUGUGGUUUAAUUCGAAGCAACGCGAAGAACCUUACCAGGUCUUGACAUCCCUUGACAACUCCAGAGAUGGAGCGUUCCCUUCGGGGACAAGGUGACAGGUGGUGCAUGGUUGUCGUCAGCUCGUGUCGUGAGAUGUUGGGUUAAGUCCCGCAACGAGCGCAACCCUUAUUACUAGUUGCCAGCAUUCAGUUGGGCACUCUAGUGAGACUGCCGGUGACAAACCGGAGGAAGGUGGGGAUGACGUCAAAUCAUCAUGCCCCUUAUGACCUGGGCUACACACGUGCUACAAUGGCGUAUACAACGAGUUGCCAACCCGCGAGGGUGAGCUAAUCUCUUAAAGUACGUCUCAGUUCGGAUUGUAGGCUGCAACUCGCCUACAUGAAGUCGGAAUCGCUAGUAAUCGCGGAUCAGCACGCCGCGGUGAAUACGUUCCCGGGUCUUGUACACACCGCCCGUCACACCAUGAGAGUUUGUAACACCCAAAGCCGGUGGGGUAACCUUCGGGAGCCAGCCGUCUAAGGUGGGACAGAUGAUUAGGGUG